rnacentral:rRNA from 1 species
UACGUAGGGGGCAAGCGUUGUCCGGAUUUAUUGGGCGUAAAGAGCCCGCAGGCGGCUUGGCAAGUUUGAGGUGAAAUCUCCCGGCUUAACUGGGAGGGGGCCUCGAAAACUGCCAGGCUUGAGGCAUGGAGAGGGAUGCGGAAUUCCCGGUGUGAGUGGUGAAAUGCGAUGAGAUAUCGGGAGGGCGAACAACCACGUGGCGGAAGGCGGCAUCCUG